CUGCUAGCCUAGGCAAUGGAUGUGUCUGCAUUUGUUCUUGUAUCUGCUUGUGUUUGACCAUUUAUCUUCACAGGCCUUGAUGAAGACCAACCUGAUUAUGACCAACCUGUUUUUUCCCUAAAGUGAGCAGAAGUCUUGCUCAGAUGGCAGAACUGUGAAAGGACUUGAAAGAAGCACUGACAUGAUGAUUGUAUUUGUAUGGAUCAUUAAGGUUUGGACCAUGGCUAACGAAUUUGGGUAUUUUAUGAGUUUUCAGUGAUUGUGGUUUAAUGGAAUAGGUUCAGUUUGACAGCUUUGUAAAGGCCAAAGCCCACUCAAAUUGGCAUAAGAUGGCAAUGUGACUUUUUUCUCUUGCAAGGGCCCUGCAAGAGAUAAAAAAACACUGCCCUAAAUUCUAAAAGCAGAUGAAGAACUGUGGGAAAAGGCCUAAGUAGAAUAGACUGAUAGUAACAUCUAGGGCAUAUCUUUGUAUUGUAUUUAGAGGUUAGUAGUUCUUAAGCACAAUAGUCAGACACAGCUCAUAGCUAAGGAGUGUAAUGAGAACGUCAAGUGAACCCAGAACUAUGGGAGUCUGAGAAGAAUACUCGACAGCUGAGUGAUCUGCGAGUCUGCAGCAUCAACUGCCACACAGAGCCAGCGCAGACGUGGCACACCUGCACUCUCCUGUGACUGUGAUGUUCGUCUGCACUUUUGGGUUUCUGAACGAAUGACUUACUGUCGCUUGCAGAAAUAGCUUUUGGGAUUGUUAGCUAAGCUUGGGUUGUUAGCUUGCCAGACUAAUGCUACUGAUGAAAGCUCUAACAGGUUUAUUCCUUUUGAUUGUAGCACUGUUGAUUUGUAGCUGCACCAUUCACCCCUGUGUUAAACAGCCUAUGAUAACUUCCUUAGCAAUGAGGGCGGACACUGCGGUUCAAACGACACUGACAAGGCCCAUAUUAGACCUUUAGGUGCUUUUGGAGCAAACAAUUGGUGUUAUGGUGUUAAAGCAUCAAGAAGGGGCCGAGGUCAUCUGUUGUGGAACAACAGAACCGCCAAGCCCAAGGACACGGCUGCCAGGACUUCGAAGGGAUGUGUUGUUUGAAUUUAUCAGAUCAUGGUGAGUCCGUUCACAAGAGUAUAACCUGGUUGAAAGGCCGUAUUGACAAGAUCGAAAAGGAAACAUCGACUUUUGAUGACUGGUUGCAGAACCUGUUUGGGACAAUCCCGGGGUGGUUAAGCAGCUUAUUAGGAGAAGGCUUACAGCUAUUUUUUAUUUUCAUAAUAAUUCUGCUAUGCGCUUGUAUUGUCUUUGCUUGCAUUAAGAAGAGCUUAACUAAGGUAGUUAGCCAGGUGUGGGUUGCUCAAAAAGAAAAAGAGGGAAUUGUGGAAGAAUUUCUCACCAGUCGAGGACAUAAAGUCAUAAACAUGGGUAACUGGCGCUGAGAACGUCCUUGGUUCCCAGCGAGGCUAGGAAAUCGAGAUGUAAACAACUGAGCACCCCACACACAGCUGCAGUGGGCAGAGACUAGAUAACUAAGGGGGCUGGAGUGGGUGGUCUGGAAGGCUGACCCUUAGAAUGUUGUGAUAAGUUAACCUAUGCACACCUUACAUGUAACCCUGGACCCUCUGACUGUAACCAAUCUUAAGCUGAGCACGCCUCUUGCUAGAAUGCAUAUAAGUCACUGUAUCACGGAAAUAAAGUGGAUUUGACCAUCUAACCAUA